CUGUCAGCAUUUGAGACUGCCCACUACUACGUCCUCCGUCUUCUAUAUAUAGAAGAUAGGAGACGGAGGACACCUAGCAACGCUGUUUUAGCGGCACCACUGAAAUGCCUGGGGGAGGAAAGAACAUGCUGCAACUACUAGGUGAUUCA